rnacentral:rRNA from 1 species
CAGUAGCCGCGGGAAUACGAAGGGGGCUAGCGUUGUUCGGAAUUACUGGGCGUAAAGCGCACGUAGGCGGACAUUUAAGUCAGGGGUGAAAUCCCGGGGCUCAACCCCGGAACUGCCUUUGAUACUGGGUGUCUAGAGUAUGGAAGAGGUGAGUGGAAUUCCGAGUGUAGAGGUGAAAUUCGUAGAUAUUCGGAGGAACACCAGUGGCGAAGGCGGCUCACUGGUCCAUUACUGACGCUGAGGUGCGAAAGCGUGGGGAGCAGACAGGAUUAGAUACCCCUGUAGUCCCUGUCUCUUAUAA